AAACCAUGCUAUGGACACUUCCGCAAGAGAUCCUUGAAUCGCUCCCAUGUCUCAAACAAGGAUUCAAGCUCCAUCUGAACAAAAGAACGAUAUUUCAUUAUAAAAGCUU